UAGAGUUUGAUCCUGGCUCAGGAUGAACGCUAGCUACAGGCUUAACACAUGCAAGUCGAGGGGAAACGGCAUUGAGUGCUCGCACUCUUUGGACGUCGACCGGCGCACGGGUGAGUAACGCGUAUCCAACCUUCCCAUUACUGUGGGAUAACCUGCCGAAAGGCAGACUAAUACCGCAUAGUCUUCGAUGACGGCAUCAGAUUUGAAGUAAAGAUUUAUCGGUAAUGGAUGGGGAUGCGUCUGAUUAGCUUGUUGGCGGGGUAACGGCCCACCAAGGCGACGAUCAGUAGGGGUUCUGAGAGGAAGGUCCCCCACAUUGGAACUGAGACACGGUCCAAACUCCUACGGGAGGCAGCAGUGAGGAAUAUUGGUCAAUGGACGGAAGUCUGAACCAGCCAAGUAGCGUGCAGGAUGACGGCCCUAUGGGUUGUAAACUGCUUUUGUAUGGGGAUAAAGUUAGGGACGUGUCCCUAUUUGCAGGUACCAUACGAAUAAGGACCGGCUAAUUCCGUGCCAGCAGCCGCGGUAAUACGGAAGGUCCAGGCGUUAUCCGGAUUUAUUGGGUUUAAAGGGAGCGUAGGCUGGAGAUUAAGUGUGUUGUGAAAUGUAGACGCUCAACGUCUGACUUGCAGCGCAUACUGGUUUCCUUGAGUACGCACAACGUUGGCGGAAUUCGUCGUGUAGCGGUGAAAUGCUUAGAUAUGACGAAGAACUCCGAUUGCGAAGGCAGCUGACGGGAGCGCAACUGACGCUUAAGCUCGAAGGUGCGGGUAUCAAACAGGAUUAGAUCCCCUGGUAGUCCGCACAG
rnacentral:rRNA from 1 species